UUUAAUUUUUUUUUCUUCUUUUUUUUUUCUUUUUUUUUUCUUUUUUUUUUUUUUUUUUUUCUUGGGGAGGAAAAGUCCAAACACUGGAAAACCUGAAGGAUUCCAGGCAAUUUACCACAAAAACCUUUGGUAUGGAAUAGUCCUGUCCUGCUACAUCCAGGAAGAGAGGGUUGGGAGGUGAAAUAUCUCCUAAAGAAGCAGAACUGUGCAGAAAAUGAAGUCCUAUUGAGAGGUCUUAAAGCUCUGGACAAGGUUCAUUUUCCAAGAGGCUUCGUUUUGGGGAUGGAUUUGGGAAGCAUUUUCCUGCUUAUAAAUAUCUCUGUUGCUCUGACUUUUGUUCUACUUCUGGAUCUUGCAUCAUCUCCCAUGGGGAAGGGACUGUCGUUUUUAUAUCCUUUUUAUAUCCUUUUUUAAAUCCUUUUUUUUUUUUUUCCUUCUUAGAUGUUUAUUCAGCAUUUAAUACCCCAGAUUGGGGCAUUUAAUAUCCCAGAAUCAUUUAGGUUGGAAAAGGCCUCAUUUAGGUUGGGAAAGACCUCAGAAUAUCAGGAGAUUUGGCACGGUAAUUCCCAGUGAUUCCAUGAGAUCCCCCAGCAAACCUGGGGAUAAAUCCAGCACCUGAAGUGCCAGUGAUCCCUAAAUCAUCACUUUCACUCAGGAAAACAAUUUUUAUCCUUUCCAAAUCCAAUAUUAAUCAAGGGAAUAAAGUUCAUGGAGCCUUUUUCAAUAAAGCAGCAGUGGAAGAGCAGCAUUGUCCUUGGAAAGGGGUGUGAACUCCUUCAGUGCAGGGGAAAGGCUGGCAAAAAUCACCACGUUUGCUCUGUGGCACUUUGAAAUUCUCCCCAAAACAGGCUCCAGGUUUAAUAUUUAUCACAAAUCUCCACGUUUUAUUCAUCUACAAGUCCCAGCGCAUUGUUCACUGCACUACAAUCUCAUUUAUUAAAAUGUUUUAGGAGCUAGGAUGCAUAAAAUUCUUACCUAAAUAAAAUUUAAUGUGGAAAAAUCACUGUUUGCUGCCUGAGAACUCUGCCCUCAUUUUCACAACGUUCCUGCUUCUCAUCACUAAAAUAAACAGCUCAACUUAAUGACCCAAAGGAGGGGUUUUAGUUUGGGAAAAUUAAAUGUGUCCAAUUCUUUACAUGGAAGAACAUUAUCCAUGAGUGUCCUCUCUGCAGGGAAUGGUCACAGGAAGGGGUGGGAUGAAUAAUUUCAAUUUCAGAGAAGUUUUUCCUCACUGACCAUCAGCACCACAGCCCAGGAAGGGAGAAGGAGCUCCUUGCACCAGACACCUUCAGGGAAGAGAGGAAAAAAGGCUGAGCAUGGAAAGACCUUUCCCAAAUCUUCCCAAAGUCAAUGGAAUAGACAUGAGAGGAUUUGGACAGAAAAUCAAACAUCUCAGAACACUUGGAGCUGGGCUUUUCAGAAGGAAAAGUCUUUUUUUUUUAGCAUUAUUUGCCCACUCAGGUCAUAGAAUAGAACCUCAGAAUCCUCUAAAUCAUUGAGGGUGGAAAAGAAUUCCAAGGUUUUGAAUCCAAACUGUGCCUGAUCCCCACCUUGUCCCCAGCCCAGAGCACUCAGUGCCACCUCCAGGCCUUGGACACCUCCAGGGAUGGGCACUCCAAACCUCCCUGGGAUGAAUUAUUUCAAACCAAACUCCCAUUUUCACAUUAAAUCCCAUACUUUCCCAUUUUUUUACUGAUGUAAAUGAUUUCUCUCUCUCAGCCUGGGCAGCCUUACUCUGAAUUUGAUGCUGUUGUACUUUGAGUUUUCUGGACAGGCCAUUUCAUCAGUGUCAAUAACCGUGAAUUGAAUACUGAAAUGGAAAAUCAAUGUGUUCUGACCUAAACUGGGCUGGAAACCUUGGAUUUUCAGGAGCAACAGGGAAUCAUGUCAAUCACCUUGCAGGCAAUGGAGAGCAUUGAUCUCAGUCAAGAGCCAGAUUUCAUUUGUAAAGGUUACUGAGGGCUGAAAGUGAUCCUUGAGAUGUCAUGGAUCACGUCACUGAGUUUUUCAGGAUACAAAGGUCUCCCCACCUUGAUUUUCCAACAUUUGGCAGCCACUUUGGAGAAAAACACUGAGGGAAAAAAUCAAAGGACCACUUUCUUCCUGGAAAAAAAAAAAAAAAACCAGCCUGGAGAAGAGGUUUUGGAGCAAACUCAUUGUGGUAUUCCAGGACCUGAAGAAGUCAUAGGGAAAAUGGUGAGAGACAAUUGCCAAGGGCUGCAGGGACAGGAGCCAGGGAAUGGCUCCCAGUGCCAGAGGGCAGGGCUGGAUGGGCUCUUGGGAAUCAGGAAUUGUUCCCUGGCAGGGUGGGCAGGCCCUGGCACAGGGUGCCCAGAGCAGCUGUGGCUGCCCCUGCAUCCCUGGCAGUGCCCAAGGCCAGGCUGGACACUGGGGCUGGAGCAGCCUGGGACAGUGGGAGGUGUCCCUGCCAUGGCAGGGGUGGCACUGGGUGGAUUUUAAAGUCCUCUUUAAGGUCUUUUUUUCCUCUCUGGGCAAUCUGUGCCAGUGCCAAAUGGUACCAGAAUAUUUGGCAAUGAUUUGGGCAAUGUGUUCUCCAUGCAUGCCCAGAAAGUUGUUCCUAAAUUGUUCCUUCUUCCUGUUCUGCCCUUACUCUGCAUUGCCUGACUCAAAGGAAGGGAACAACCCCAUGAUAUUCCAUUUUCCUUCCCACUAAAUAAAACCCCUUUAAACCCUGGCAGUGCCCAAGGCCAGGCUGGAGCAGCCUGGGACAGGGGGAGGUGUCCCUGCCAUGGCAGGGGUGGGCUCUGAGGUCCUUCCCAACCCAACCCAUUCCAGGAUUCCACGAUUCUGGUAUUCCAUGAUUCCAUCAAAUAAAUGGCUGUUAAAAUCUAAGACAACUUUUUGCCACUGAGCUGCUCUCAGUGGCCUCAGACAUUUAAAGAAGUGGCACAAUCCUUCCACUUCAGAAUAAAAAGUUCUUUCAAUUCAGUAUCCAAGCAGAUCUUUUAUAAUUAUAAAUAACGUGUAAAAAAGGAGGAAAGGGCUUUAACUAAAAGUCCUGCUUGAGUGCUGGAGGGGCACAGUUCCACAGGCCCAAAGGGGAAUAUUUUAUUCCUUUAUUCCAGAACUUUAUCACUUUUCCAUGUGGGACUGACUGUGGCUGUUUCCUCCUUCUGCUCCUACUGAUGAAUCCGCUGAGGAGCCACAGCAGGGCUGUCCUGGGCCUGCCAAAGCAGAGCAGCCUCACUGCCCAGGAGUCUGGAACUGCAGACAUCCUCUCCUUUUCCAGGAGAGGAAACGCUUUUGCUUUGCUGUGUUUUUGCUUUCCAGUCUAACCAAGCUCAGCUUUAUCUUUGGGAUCCUUCAGCUCCGGUACGGCAGAGCCACAGUGCACAGAGGGGGACUUGGAAAUAUUCCAAAGGAUUUCAUUUCAUUCUUCUUCAAGGAAAAAAUGAGGAGGAGCAACCAAGGUAAACUGCUGAAGAGCAGCAGGGCUGGAAGUGCAGAGCAUUAAGUGAUGGUUGUGUAUCCCAUCCCAUACAUGAAUGUAAUUCUUCUAAUAUUAUUAAAUGUUAUUUUGCAA